rnacentral:tRNA from 1 species
CGGAAGUAGCUCAGUCGGUAGAGCAUCAGCCUUCCAAGCUGAGGGUCGCGGGUUCGAAUCUCGUCUUCCG